CAGGGAGGACAUGCAGACUCCACACAGAAAGACACCAGGUCAGCCGUGGCUUGAACCCGGAACCUUCUUGCUGUGAGUCCACAGCGCUAAUCGCUGUUCCACCAUGCUGCCCGCUAUUGCUGUCUUUUGUUGUGAAUGUUAUAGUUUUAGAGGAGAAUUUAUAUACUGAAUGCUGGAAUACCAGUGUUCACAAAUGGCCCCACAGCUGUGUUACUGUCAGGAGGUGAGUGUGAGGAGGAUGCUAGCAUAUUGUAGUUGUAGGAACAGCCCUCUCCAGGUGACAUGCUGUCUGGGGGGGCUAGUGGACCCUGGACUUCUAGAGAGGGUGGUUCCUCUGGAGUCUGUACACCUGGCGUUUCUUUUUGACAAUCGUGUAGACUGUCUGAGCUUCCUGUUACCUGCCUCCCUAGGGUGCAGUGGUUUUUGUUUG